GAUGAACGCUGGCGGCGUGCCUAAUACAUGCAAGUCGAGCGAACAGACGAGGAGCUUGCUCCUCUGACGUUAGCGGCGGACGGGUGAGUAACACGUGGAUAACCUACCUAUAAGACUGGGAUAACUUCGGGAAACCGGAGCUAAUACCGGAUAACAUGUUGAACCGCAUGGUUCAACAGUGAAAGACGGUCUUGCUGUCACUUAUAGAUGGAUCCGCGCCGCAUUAGCUAGUUGGUAAGGUAACGGCUUACCAAGGCAACGAUGCGUAGCCGACCUGAGAGGGUGAUCGGCCACACUGGAACUGAGACACGGUCCAGACUCCUACGGGAGGCAGCAGUAGGGAAUCUUCCGCAAAGGGCGAAAGCCUGACGGAGCAACGCCGCGUGAGUGAAGAAGGUCUUCGGAUCGUAAAACUCUGUUAUUAGGGAAGAACAAAUGUGUAAGUAACUAUGCACGUCCUGACGGUACCUAAUCAGAAAGCCACGGCUAACUACGUG
rnacentral:rRNA from 1 species